GCCCUGGUCGCUUAGCCCGGCAGAGCGACUGCCUUGUAAGCAGUAGGUCGCCGGUUCAAAUCCGGCCCAGGGCUCCA
rnacentral:tRNA from 1 species